CCGGGCCGAGCCGGUGCGCCGCAGACUAGGGCGCCUCGGGCCAGGGAGCGCGGAGGAGCCAUGGCCACCACUAACGGGGCCGUGGAAAACGGGCAGCCGGACAGGAAGCCGCCGGCCCUGCCGCGCCCCAUCCGCAACCUGGAGGUCAAGUUCACCAAGAUAUUUAUCAACAAUGAAUGGCACGAAUCCAAGAGUGGGAAAAAGUUUGCUACAUGUAACCCUUCAACUCGGGAGCAAAUAUGUGAAGUGGAAGAAGGAGAUAAGCCCGACGUGGACAAGGCUGUGGAGGCUGCACAGGUUGCCUUCCAGAGGGGCUCGCCAUGGCGCCGGCUGGAUGCCCUGAGUCGUGGGCGGCUGCUGCACCAGCUGGCUGACCUGGUGGAGAGGGACCGCGCCACCUUGGCCGGCAGCUCCCACUGCAGCCACCCCAGAGCCAGCUAACCUUCAGAGAGCUUCCUGGGAACGCACAAGCACACACGACUGGCCACACAGCAGAGGCCACUGUGCUACAGAUGGAAGAUCAGAUGCCAGUGUGCGUUCCUUCCCAGCACAGCUUUAAAUCCGCCUGGCCUCCGA
rnacentral:sRNA from 1 species